UGGGGAAUUUUGGACAAUGGGCGAAAGCCUGAUCCAGCAAUGCCGCAUCGAUGUGAGUGAAGAAGGCCUUCGGGUUGUAAAGCUCUUUUGUCAGGGAAGAAACGGUGAGGGCUAUAAUAUCCCUUGCUAAUGACGGUACCUGAAGAUGCAAUAAGCACCGGCUAACUACGUGCCAGCAGCCGCGGUAAUACGUAGGGUGCAAGCGUUAAUCGGAAUUACUGGGCGUAAAGCGUGCGCAGGCGGUUUUGUAAGUCUGAUGUGAAAUCCCCGGGCUCAACCUGGGAAUUGCAUUGGAGACUGCAAGGCUCGUAGAAUCUGGCAGAGGGGGGUAGAAUUCCACGUGUAGCAGUGAAAUGCGUAGAUAUGUGGAGGAACACCGAUGGCGAAGGCAGCCCCCUGGGUCAAGAUUGACGCUCAUGCACGAAAGCGUGGGGAGCAAACAGGAUUAGAUACCCUGGUAGUCCACGCCCUAAACGAUGUCUAUUAGUUG
rnacentral:rRNA from 1 species